rnacentral:rRNA from 1 species
UACGUAGGGCGCAAGCGUUGUCCGGAAUUAUUGGGCGUAAAGAGCUCGUAGGCGGUUUGUCGCGUCUGCUGUGAAAUCCUCAGGCUCAACUUGGGGCGUGCAGUGGGUACGGGCAGACUAGAGUGCGGUAGGGGAGAUUGGAAUUCCUGGUGUAGCGGUGGAAUGCGCAGAUAUCAGGAGGAACACCAAUGGCGAAGGCAGAUCUCUGGGCCGUAACUGACGCUGAGGAGCGAAAGCAUGGGGAGCGAACAGG